rnacentral:lncRNA from 1 species
AGCAUCGAGCACCCACCGAUUCCAUCCUGUGCCGAACUCGCGUCCGCAACCGUAGAAAGCGCAUACAAGUCAGUAACAAUGGCGAAGAACUCCUCGACCUCCGUUCAGCUGCUCCUCGUCCUCCUCGUUUUACUGGUUGUUGUCAGCGGCAUCCUCGCACAAGGCGGACCAAGCACUUGCAACUGUAAGCGAGCACUGUUACCUGCUUGGGCAUAAUGCAAUAAGUAUUUGUCUUCGUCUUCCGCAUUAAUAAUUUUGAGCUAAAAAGUUCAUCUUUUGUGGCAUCCAGCGCCUGAGCAGCAUGAAUGCCCUCCAAUCCCUGGUCAAGGGAACUAAUCUCAACCAGUGUAUCAGAAGGACGCCAGCGACAAAUUCACGUACCUAUUCCUUGCAGCAGGAUUUGAAGGACUGUUUACUAGUACUCCCGCCGUUUCAAAUUUU